GACGAACGCUGGCGGCGUGCUUAACACAUGCAAGUCGAACGGAAAGGCCCUGCUUUUGUGGGGUGCUCGAGUGGCGAACGGGUGAGUAACACGUGAGUAACCUGCCCUUGACUUUGGGAUAACUUCAGGAAACUGGGGCUAAUACCGGAUAGGAGCUCCUGCUGCAUGGUGGGGGUUGGAAAGUUUCGGCGGUUGGGGAUGGACUCGCGGCUUAUCAGCUUGUUGGUGGGGUAGUGGCUUACCAAGGCUUUGACGGGUAGCCGGCCUGGGAGGGUGACCGGCCACAUUGGGCCUGCGAUACGGCCCAGACUCCUACGGGAGGCAGCAGUGGGGAAUAUUGCACAGUGGGCGGACGCCUGAUGCAGCAACGCCGCGUGCGGGAUGACGGCCUUCGGGUUGUAAACCGCUUUCGCCUGUGACGAAGCGUGAGUGACGGUAAUGGGUAAAGAAGCACCGGCUAACUACGUG
rnacentral:rRNA from 1 species